AUUGAACGCUGGCGGCAUGCCUUACACAUGCAAGUCGAACGGCAGCACGGGAGCUUGCUCCUGGUGGCGAGUGGCGAACGGGUGAGUAAUACAUCGGAACGUACCCAGGAGUGGGGGAUAACGUAGCGAAAGUUACGCUAAUACCGCAUAUUCUGUGAGCAGGAAAGCGGGGGAUCGCAAGACCUCGCGCUCUUGGAGCGGCCGAUGACGGAUUAGCUAGUUGGUGAGGUAAAAGCUCACCAAGGCGACGAUCCGUAGCAGGUCUGAGAGGAUGAUCUGCCACACUGGGACUGAGACACGGCCCAGACUCCUACGGGAGGCAGCAGUGGGGAAUUUUGGACAAUGGGGGCAACCCUGAUCCAGCCAUGCCGCGUGAGUGAAGAAGGCCUUCGGGUUGUAAAGCUCUUUCGGCGGGGAAGAAAUGGCAACGGCUAAUAUCCGUUGUUGAUGACGGUACCCGCAUAAGAAGCACCGGCUAACUACGUGCCAGCAGCCGCGGUAAUAC
rnacentral:rRNA from 1 species